AUGGCCCAGCUCGACCCCUCCGAUCCCAAGGAGGUGGAACACUUCAUGGGGAAAUACUUCGUCAGUGUGCCAUGCCGGACGAGCUGGCUCUUCCAGGCCAGCAUUCUUGCGGCCUCCAUCAAGGGGGAGGAGGAAGAGGAGGGGAAGGGGGAGGACAUGGCCGGAGAUAUGGCUGACGAGGUCUUUGCCAAACAGCUGCAUAAGGUUGCCAAGAAGAAAAGGACAGUCAUGGAAAACAGAGGGAAUGAGAAGAAUGCGUGGGGGCUGAAGAAGACCAUGGAGGUUCAGAGUGAUGAGGACGACUUCGUGGCUGACGGAGGAGGACAACUUUGGGUGUGCAAGAAGAACGACGGCAAGAGGAGGUUUUGCCGCCGGCCGGUGAGCCAGCCCGAUUCCCUUUGCGUGUAUCACUUGGAUCCAAAGUCUGUGCCGCCGGUGGCUUCCACAGCAGCCUCCAAACCCUCCAGCAGCGCCAAGCCACGUAAGAGGAGGCGUGUUGAUGCUGGUGAGGGGUACUUAUACUAUGCUGGCUUCGGCCCGUCCCUCAGCAAGAGGCAGAGAUCAAGCAGCAAUGUGCUGGAACCUUUACCUGCUGAAGAAAAGGAGGAGGCACUGCCUGAAGAGCAUACUGCAGGUCCAGCCCAAACUGUUGAUGCAGACCAUCAAGCGACAUCAGCACAUGUUGACGAGCCUAGGUGUGAUGAGAUGGCCGGGAUUGCAGGCGGCGACGAGGAGAGCAGCGACGACGCGCUUGGCUGCAACGAUGAACCCCGGGUUGUUGGCGUCAACGGCAACAUCAAGAGGAAGAGCCCGUUUAAGAAGAGGUGGAGGAAGCCUGUGAAAGCUCGCUCACUCAAGUCAUUGAUGUGUUAG
rnacentral:rRNA from 1 species